rnacentral:rRNA from 1 species
GAUGAACGCUGGCGGCGUGCCUAAUACAUGCAAGUCGAGCGAACGGACGAGAAGCUUGCUUCUCUGAUGUUAGCGGCGGACGGGUGAGUAACACGUGGAUAACCUACCUAUAAGACUGGGAUAACUUCGGGAAACCGGAGCUAAUACCGGAUGAUAUUUUGAACCGCAUGGUUCAAAAGUGAAAGACGGUCUUGCUGUCACUUAUAGAUGGAUCCGCGCUGCAUUAGCUAGUUGGUAAGGUAACGGCUUACCAAGGCAACGAUGCAUAGCCGACCUGAGAGGGUGAUCGGCCACACUGAAACUGAGACACGGUCCAGACUCCUACGGGAGGCAGCAGUAGGGAAUCUUCCGCAAUGGGCGAAAGCCUGACGGAGCAACGCCGCGUGAGUGAUGAAGGUCUUCGGAUCGUAAAACUCUGUUAUUAGGGAAGAACAUAUGUGUAAGUAACUGUGCACAUCUUGACGGUACCUAAUCAGAAAGCCACGGCGAACUACGU